rnacentral:misc_RNA from 1 species
GAUGAAGAACGUAGCGAAAUGCGAUACGUAAUGUGAAUUGCAAAUUCAGUGAAUCAUCGAGUCUUUGAACGCACAUUGCGCCCCCUGGUAUUCCGGGGGGCAUGCCUGUCCGAGCGUCAUUGCUGCCCUCAAGCACGGCUUGUGUGUUGGGCCCCGUCCUCCGAUCCCGGGGGACGGGCCCGAAAGGCCGCGGCGGCACCGCGUCCGGUCCUCGAGCGUAUGGGGCUUUGUCACCCGCUCUGUAGGCCCGGCCGGCGCUUGCCGAUCAACCCAAAUUUUUUAUCCAGGUUGACCUCGGAUCAGGUAGGGAUACCCGCUGAACUUAAGCAUAUCAAUAAGCGGAGGA